rnacentral:lncRNA from 1 species
GAACGCAAAGAAAGGUGCCACGCGCCCCGCUUUUGUCUUCCUUAUGGGGCCUGAGGAGUCGUGGGUAGCUUCCUCUCGGGUCUAAAGCUUGGCUGUCUUUGGCACUGUGUCACUGGAUCUCUUUGGCUUUGGGGGUACCAGGGAUUACGUUGCACUGUGAGACAGUGCAUGACCUGAGUGUGUGUGAUGGCCGGCAGGUCACUGGCGAGGGCUGCCUCACAGUUUUGGAGGUGGCUGAAAGCAGUUGUAGUGAAUGGUUGUUCCUGCAGUGGCUGCUUGUUUCUCUGCAUGUUUAGAUGAGAAAGGCACAAUCUGAACACUUGGAGACUAUGGAAGCACUUGGCGUCAAAGGCUGAGACUCCGUGGGCUGAUUGCUGUGGGUCUCCCACCAGCCUCAGGGGAAUGUCUUCAUAGUGAGGUCUUUGGCUUUGAGCCUCUACAUUCUGGGGUCAAGACAAGUGGACAUGAUGUGGCCUGGAGACAUCUGUGUGUCCGCAGUACCUAAGCCCCAUCCUCCCUGGCCCAGCUGUACCCCCCGGUCAUGCUGUUUGUCUGCAGUGCCCGAGCCCCGUCCUCCCUAGCCCAGCUGUGCCCCCCGGCCAUACUGUGUGUCUGCAGUGCCUGAGCCCCGUCCUCCCUAGCCCAGCUGUGCGCCCCAGCCAUGCUGUGUGUCUGCAGUGCCCGAGCAUUGUCCUCUCUUGCCCAGCUGUGCCCCCCGGUCAUGCUGUGUGUCUGCAGUGCCCGAGCAUUGUCCUCCCUGGCCCAGCUGUGCCCCCCGGUCAUGCUGGGAGGGGUUGAGUCCUCCAGGCAUUGUCUUUGUAGUAGCCCAUUCUCACACUGCUAAUAAAGACAUACCUGAGACUGGGUGAUUUGUAAAGGAAAGAGGUUUAAUUGACUCACAGUUCAGCGUGGCUGGGAAGCCUCAGGAAACUUACAAUCAUGGCGGAAGAGGAAGCAAACACGUUCUUCACAUGAGGUCAGGAAGGAGGUGUGCAGAGCGAAGAGUGGGGAAGCACCUCAUGAAACCAUGAGACCUCGUGAGAACUCACUAGCACAAAAACAGCGUGGGGGAACCGCCCCCUUCAUCUAAUCACCUCCCACUGGGUCCCUCCCACAACACCUGUGGAUUUUGGGAACUACAGUUCAAGAUGAGAUUUGGGUGGGGACACAGCCAAACCAUAUCAGUCUUUAAAGCUCUGUCCUUUGUCCUGGGCUUUGCAUCUUUAAUAACAAUUAAAAUUGCUUACUUCCCAUGUUUUUCACUGAAAAUUAGGCUUCCUAAGAGUUAACAUUGUAAUUAAUAUAUGUAUUUAAAACUACUAGAUAUAAGAGAAACACUUCUGUAUGCAAAGUUUAUAAGAAAGUAGGAUGUGUUUUUGGUAAGGAAGGUUAUAAAGAAGGCAUGAGAAUGAGGUUUUUGUUAAAGGAAAAGUAAUUUUGUCUAGUUUUGAUGUUUUUAAAGGUUGUUUUAAAUUAAAGGAAUAAAAAAAUGAUAGAUAAAACUGAAUAUAUAUAGAAAGUUUGAGAAACAAAGAAUGGAACAAAUUUUAAGAGGUUAUUAAAGGUUUAUGGAAAUCUUAUGUGGUCAAAGCUGAUUGAGAUUGAAUGGAUCUGUUUUUAAGUUUUUAUUAAAAUUAGCUUUAGUAUUAAUAAUAUGCUAAUGUAAAGGUAGAAUUUAGUUUUCAUUUUUGAGUAAGAUUUUCAUGUAGUAUUAAUAA